rnacentral:rRNA from 1 species
AUUGAACGCUGGCGGCAUGCCUUACACAUGCAAGUCGAACGGCAGCACGGGUGCUUGCACCUGGUGGCGAGUGGCGAACGGGUGAGUAAUACAUCGGAACAUGUCCUGUAGUGGGGGAUAGCCCGGCGAAAGCCGGAUUAAUACCGCAUACGAUCUACGGAUGAAAGCGGGGGCCCUUCGGGCCUCGCGCUAUGGGGUUGGCCGAUGGCUGAUUAGCUAGUUGGUGGGGUAAAGGCCUACCAAGGCGACGAUCAGUAGCUGGUCUGAGAGGACGACCAGCCACACUGGGACUGAGACACGGCCCAGACUCCUACGGGAGGCAGCAGUGGGGAAUUUUGGACAAUGGGCGAAAGCCUGAUCCAGCAAUGCCGCGUGUGUGAAGAAGGCCUUCGGGUUGUAAAGCACUUUUGUCCGGAAAGAAAUCCUUGGCCCUAAUACGGGCGGGGGAUGACGGUACCGGAAGAAUAAGCACCGGCUAACUACGUG